GGGUGAUUAGUCUAGUGGUAUGAUUCACGCUUAGGGUGCGUGAGGUCCCGGGUUCAAUUCCCGGAUCACCCC
rfam:Tritrichomonas foetus strain K scaffold_379, whole genome shotgun sequence.